rnacentral:rRNA from 1 species
GUAACCUAUUGCAAGUACCAUACGAAUAAGCAUCGGCUAACUCCGUGCCAGCAGCCGCGGUAAUACGGAGGAUGCGAGCGUUAUCCGGAUUUAUUGGGUUUAAAGGGUGCGUAGGCGGGAUUAUAAGUCAGCGGUGAAAGUUUGAGGCUCAACCUUAAAAUUGCCGUUGAAACUGUUUUUCUUGAGUAUAUUUGAAGUAGGCGGAAUUCGUGGUGUAGCGGUGAAAUGCAUAGAUAUCACGAAGAACUCCAAUUGCGAAGGCAGCUUACUAAACUAUAACUGACGCUGAAGCACGAAAGCGUGGGUAUCAAACAGGAUUAGAUACCCUGGUAGUCCACGCCGUAAACGAUGAUUACUAGCUGUUUGUGAUAUUACAAUAAGCGGCUAAGCGAAAGCGAUAAGUAAUCCACCUGGGGAGUACGCCGGCAACGGUG